AACGAACGCUGGCGGCAGGCCUAACACAUGCAAGUCGAGCGCACCCUUCGGGGUGAGCGGCGGACGGGUUAGUAACGCGUGGGAACGUGCCCAGAUCUGCGGAAUAGCCACUGGAAACGGUGAGUAAUACCGCAUACGCCCUUCGGGGAAAGAUUUAUCGGAUUUGGAUCGGCCCGCGUUAGAUUAGGUAGUUGGUGGGGUAACGGCCUACCAAGCCUACGAUCUAUAGCUGGUUUUAGAGGAUGAUCAGCAACACUGGGACUGAGACACGGCCCAGACUCCUACGGGAGGCAGCAGUGGGGAAUAUUGCACAAUGGGCAAAGCCUGAUGCAGCGACGCCGCGUGAACGAUGAAGGCUUUCGAGUCGUAAAGUUC
rnacentral:rRNA from 1 species